rnacentral:rRNA from 1 species
UAGCUAGUUGGUGAGGUAACGGCUUACCAAGGCGACGAUCUGUAGCGGGUCUGAGAGGAUGAUCCGCCACACUGGAACUGAGACACAGUCCAGACUCCUACGGGAGGCAGCAGUGGGGAAUUUUGGACAAUGGGGGCAACCCUGAUCCAGCCAUGCCGCGUGAGUGAAGAAGGCCUUCGGGUUGUAAAGCUCUUUCGGCCGGGAAGAAAUCGCAUGGGCCAAUACCCUGUGUGGAUGACGGUACCGGAAUAAGAAGCACCGGCUAACUACGUGCCAGCAGCCGCGGUAAUACGUAGGGUGCGAGCGUUAAUCGGAAUUACUGGGCGUAAAGCGUGCGCAGGCGGUUUUGUAAGACAGGCGUGAAAUCCCCGGGCUCAACCUGGGAACUGCGUUUGUGACUGCAAGGCUAGAGUACGGCAGAGGGGGGUGGAAUUCCACGUGUAGCAGUGAAAUGCGUAGAGAUGUGGAGGAACACCAAUGGCGAAGGCAGCCCCCUGGGUCGAUACUGACGCUCAUGCACGAAAGCGUGGGUAGCAAACAGGAUUAGAUACCCUGGUAGUCCACGCCCUAAACUAUGUCAACUAGGUGUUGGGUGGGUAAAACCAUUUAGUACCGUAGCUAACGCGUGAAGUUGACCGCCUGGGGAGUACGGCCGCAAGGUUAAAACUCAAAGGAAUUGACGGGGACCCGCACAAGCGGUGGGUGAUGUGGAUUAAUUCGAUGCAGCGCGAAAAACCUUACCUACCCUUGACAUGCCAGGAACUCGCCAGAGAUGGCUUGGUGCCCGAAAGGGAGCCUGAACACAGGUGCUGCAUGGCUGUCGUCAGCUCGUGUCGUGAGAUGUUGGGUUAAGUCCCGCAACGAGCGCAACCCUUGUCGUUAAUUGCCAUCAUUUAGUUGGGCACUUUAGCGAGACUGCCGGUGACAAACCGGAGGAAGGUGGGGAUGACGUCAAGUCCUCAUGGCCCUUAUGGGUAGGGCUUCACACGUCAUACAAUGGUCGGUACAGAGGGUCGCCAAGCCGCGAGGUGGAGCCAAUCCCAGAAAGCCGAUCGUAGUCCGGAUUGCAGGCUGCAACUCGCCUGCAUGAAGUCGGAAUCGCUAGUAAUCGUGGAUCAGCAUGUCACGGUGAAUACGUUCCCGGGUCUUGUACACACCGCCCGUCACACCAUGGGAGCGGGUUCCGCCAGAAGUAGGUAGCCUAACCGCAAGGAGGGCGCUUACCACGGCGGGGUUCGUGACUGGGGUGAAGUCGAAACAAGGUAGCCCUAGGGGAACCUGCGGCUG